AUACGUAGGGUGCAAGCGUUAAUCGGAAUUACUGGGCGUAAAGCGUGCGCAGGCGGUUUUGUAAGACAGUGGUGAAAUCCCCGGGCUCAACCUGGGAACUGCCAUUGUGACUGCAAGGCUGGAGUGCGGCAGAGGGGGAUGGAAUUCCGCGUGUAGCAGGGAAAUGCGUAGAUAUGCGGAGGAACACCGAUGGCGAAGGCAAUCCCCUGGGCCUGCACUGACGCUCAUGCACGAAAGCGUGGGGAGCAAACAGGAUUAGAUACCCUGGUAGUCCACGCCCUAAACGAUGUCAACUGGUUGUUGGGGAUUUAUUUUCUCAGUAACGAAGCUAACGCGUGAAGUUGACCGCCUGGGGAGUACGGCCGCAAGGUUAAAACUUAAAGGAAUUGACGGGG
rnacentral:rRNA from 1 species